rnacentral:rRNA from 1 species
AGCGAACGCUGGCGGCAGGCCUAACACAUGCAAGUCGAACGGAUCCUUUGGGAUUAGUGGCGGACGGGUGAGUAACACGUGGGAACGUGCCCUUUGGUUCGGAACAACUCAGGGAAACUUGAGCUAAUACCGGAUGUGCCCUUCGGGGGAAAGAUUUAUCGCCAUUGGAGCGGCCCGCGUCUGAUUAGCUAGUUGGUGAGGUAACGGCCCACCAAGGCGACGAUCAGUAGCUGGUCUGAGAGGAUGAUCAGCCACACUGGGACUGAGACACGGCCCAGACUCCUACGGGAAGCAGCAGUGGGGAAUCUUGCGCAAUGGGCGAAAGCCUGACGCAGCCAUGCCGCGUGAAUGAUGAAGGUCUUAGGAUUGUAAAAUUCUUUCAGCGGGGACGAUAAUGACGGUACCCGCAGAAGAAGCUCCGGCUAACUUCGUG